rnacentral:rRNA from 1 species
GACGAACGCUGGCGGCGUGCUUAACACAUGCAAGUCGAACGGACAGGCCCUGCUUUUGUGGGGUGCUCGAGUGGCGAACGGGUGAGUAACACGCGAGUAACCUGCCCUUGACUUUGGGAUAACUUCAGGAAACUGGGGCUCAUACCGGAUAGGAGCUCCUGCUGCAUGGUGGGGGAUGGAAAGUUUCGGCGGUUGUGGAUGGACUCGCGGCGUAUCAGCCAGUUGGUGGGGUAGUGGCUUACCAAGGCUUGGACGGGUAGCCGGCCUGAGAGGGUGAUCGGCCACACUGGAACUGAGACACGGCCCAGACUCCUACGGGAGGCAGCAGUAGCGAAUCUUCCGCAAUGGGCGGAAGCUUGACGGAGCAACGCCGCGUGAGUGAUGAAGGUCUUCGGAUCGUAAAACUCUGUUAUUAGGGAAGAACAAAUGUGUAAGUAACCAUGCACGUCUUGACGGUACCUAAUCAGAAAGCCACGGCUAACUACGUG